rnacentral:lncRNA from 1 species
UAUUUUCCAUUUUUGACACCAUAAAGUGCAUUUUCUGUCAACUGUGAGCAAAUUUCCCUUUGCCUUUAAUAAACAUAGUGCAUUAAGUAGCCAGUUGCUGAAAAGUUACAAAGCAAGUUAGCUAAAGGUGGGUCAUACUGGACUACAUUCAAAGAACCAAGAUACACAAAAGAUGCAAGUUGUAUGUGUGUGGCUUAGAGUGCACCUGUGCAGAUGCAUGCCGCCUUCAGUAGCUGCCAAAUGUGCCUUUAAUUAAAAACAUCUCUAAUUUUUUUUUUCUUCAAAUCAAGUCAGCAUUUGGGGACGUGAUUAGGGCAAGGGACUUGGGGGUACAAAUAUCUGGUGAAAUCACCAGAGAAUUUGUUUGUCAAAGUGACAUGUGUAAUUUUAGUUGAGAUAUGUCUGUGUAUAUAUGCGUAUUUGCCUUUGUUUAGGAGCACGGUUAUUUGCUGAAAUAAUUGUUAAAAAAUGCUGUCAGUCUUACUUUGAUGUAAAGAACAAAGUGUGGUCUGUACAUCUAAUAAUGACCUUUGUACCUAACCAUGUUUGUUGGUGAUCUUUGUAUUCUGUGUGCAGCAAUAUUUGGUUUGUGUUAAAGUGAAAAUAAUGGCUGUUAUUUUUCUGGCAUUACUAAGAUAAAUUGAAAAAUAAUAAAGAAAAAUACCUUAUAUAGCCUAUAAGUGUGUUAUUUUGCAAGCAUUAUUUUCGAGGGCAGUACUUGGAAGUUGUUAGUGAUUCUAGUUUAGCUUAUAUUUGACCAGGUAGGUUGAUCUUUGGGUAUACACAGGAUGACGUUUCAGAGGCAGUCACAUUUCCAAAACAAUGAGCUUAGGCGGUGCACCCAGCUGGGGUCGUUUGACAUGAAAGAGCUUAAGGUUGUAUCUAAAGAAUUUUGUAAAUACAGUCACUCAAAAUGUAUCAUAAAAUAAAUAUAUUAAAUG